rnacentral:ncRNA from 1 species
UACCCUAUCCAUUUGGGGUAAUCCUACUGCAACCUGCGUCAGUGGUAACGCUGGGGUAGGCAGCUUGCGGGACAAUGUGGGAACUCUGACAGCCUUAGUUGGACGUACUG